GAUGAACGCUGACAGAAUGCUUAACACAUGCAAGUCGAUGGGGAAGUGGUGCUUGCACCAUGGCAACCAUGGCGGACGGGUGAGUAACGCGUAAGGGACUUACCUGCAGGACUGGGAUAACAGGGGGAAACUCCUGACAAGACCGGAUAAUGUCAUGGAGCUGCAUGGCUUUAUGAUGAAAGGAGACGCCUGCGGAGAGCCUUGCGUCCUAUUAGCUAGUUGGUGAGGUAAUGGCUCACCAAGGCGAAGAUAGGUAGCCGGCCUGAGAGGGUGGACGGCCACAAGGGGACUGGGAUACGGCCCUUACUACUACGGGAGGCAGCAGUGGGGAAUAUUGGACAAUGGGGGCAACCCUGAUCCAGCAAUUCUGUGUGCACGAAGAAGGUUUUCGGAGUGUAAAGAGCUUUCAGCAGGGAAGAAGUAAGUGACGGUACCUGCAGAAGAAGCGACGGCUAAAUACGUG
rnacentral:rRNA from 1 species